GCAGUCCUCAACCUGUGCAUUGCAACACACAACCCUGUAGGAGCCCAUCGACCUCGUAGAAGCUCCUGUAUAUCAAAUAUCUACGUUAUUAUUCAUAACAGCAGCAAAACUACAGCUAAGAAGUUGCCACAAAACAGCACUGGGUCUUUAAGAAAUGACAUUAACCAAGCCAAGUACAGCAAUGCCUGCCUGUAACUCCACCACUUGGACGCUGGAGGACAGUGAGUUCAAAGCCAGUCUGGAUUGCAUACAGCUGGAUGAGCUAAAAUCUUACCCCUUAGACUAUAGCAGGAGCUCCCAUCUGGUAGUUGGAACCUGGCAAUGACUUUAUUUAUUUUGUUCCUGUUACCUGGGACUGGAUUGGCGUAGCCGGUGCUUUGUCUUCAAUCUACAUUGACAAAUGGGACGUGCAGAGAAGUCACCUGACUUUCCAGUGUUUCCCAGCUCCACUGCUCGCUUCUCCAAAGGGCAUGGCUCCGCCCCACCACAGCCAACACCAACAUGACUUGUUUCGGAAAAAUAAAGACGCAAAUAAGCGUGCCACUUGCUUCUGAAGAGUCCUGAGCCUCCAUUCAUCUGCAUGGUGGGGUCUUUGACUCCCCACAACAGUGAAAGGGGGCCUCCUCAGAACUCUCGAUGGCCACACUUUCUCUCUAACUUCCAAACAUUACCUCACCAACACAUCCACCUCAUCACUCUAUCCCAGGGUGUCCCUUGUAAGACCCUAAAACGUUGCCAAUAAUCGUUUCAGUGCCUUCCCUUAUAUAAUGCUUAUGGUUUGAACGAGGACAUGGAGUCAUGUGUUUACACAACUGGUCCCCAACUCAAGCCAUUCUUUGGAUAGGGUUAUGAAACCUUUAGGAGGUAGAGCCUCCUUAAAGGAAGCAGGUCACUGGAGAGGAAGCCCUGAGAUUCGAGAGCCCGCCUCUACUUCCUGUUCACCCUCUACCUCCUGGCUGUGGAUGUGACGGGGCCAGCUGACUCACGUUCCUGCUUCUGCUCUUUCCCACCAUGAUAUGCUGUGUCUGCUGAAACUGUGAUACGACAACACUCUUCAUUCCUUAAAUUGCUUUUUUUUAAAGGUACUUUUGUCAUGACAAUAAAAGUAGCUGGUGUCAUUGCUGGUACUCGGUCUAUGAGGUGGGGCUACCUUAUAGCUUUGAUUGAUCAGAAGAUUAUAUCAACAGUCUCUUCUAAAGGUUCCCAUGCACCAGGUGUGUGUCCUGAUAUAUAGGCACAAUCUCUCCAGGUCUCUUGAGCAACUAAGACUUCAUACAUGCCUGUGCCACCGAACA
rnacentral:sRNA from 1 species